CGCACAGUGGCUUAGUGGUUAGCACUUUCACCUCACAGGGUCCGGGGUUCGAUUCCCGGCAGGGCCA